rnacentral:antisense_RNA from 1 species
AGCGCACCCAUGAGGUAUGGAGCAAGGUAGAGUUAGGAAGCUGAAUCCAAGGUUCCUGUAUUAGUCCGUUCUCGUGCUGCUAAUAAAGACAUACCCAAGACUGGGUAAUAUUUAAAGGAAAGAAGUUUAAUGGACUCACAGUUCCACAUGGCUGGAGAGGCCUCACAAUCAUGGAGGAAGACGAAGGAAGAGCAAAAGGACGUCUUACAUGGCGGCAGGAAAGAGAGAUGAGAACCAAGUGAAAGGGGCUUCCCCUUAUAAAAUCAUCAGAUCUCAUGAGACUUAUUCACUACCACGAGAAAAGUAGGGAGGACACCGCCCCCAUGAUUCAGUUAUCUCCGACUGCGGCCCUCUCACAACACGUGGGAAUUAUGGGAGCUACAAUUCAAGAUGAGAUUUGGGUGGGGAUACAGCCAAACCAUAUCAGUUCCAAUACUCCCUGGUACCAGCUAAGACUCUGCUGUAUGUGAAGACAUUUCGCAGAAUUUAGACGGAGAUCAUGAUCAAUCAAAUAGCACCUAUACAAUGAAAGAUUCCCUAGAUGUUACAACCUCACAGGAUAGCCAAAGUUCAACAAACAUAAAUUUCAACAAAAAUACUAGAACACAGGUUGAAUUAAUAUAAUGUAAUCAGAAAAAUGGCUAGAACACAAUAAGGAUCCAAUAUGUUACUCAUUUUGUAUAGGUAUUUAUUAAAAUCAACAUUAUAUACUUCUGUAAUUAUAAAA